rnacentral:rRNA from 1 species
UUAAUUGGCCCCUCCCCUUUAGAGUAAAUCAAACGAGGUACAGCCCGCUUGAUCCAGGAUACAGCCUUCACUAAUGGGUAAAAAUCUAACAAACAUCUUUAAGUGGGCCUAACAGCAGCCACCUUUUAAAAAGCGUCAAAGCUUAACCAUGUUACCUAAAUUUAAAAAUUCGCACUAACCCCUUUAACUGUAUUGAGAGCUUCUAUAAUCUUAUAGAACCCCUUAUGCUAAAACUAAUAACAAGAGAUAAGCCUCUCUCCUAAAUGCAAACAUAAGCCAACAAGAACCCAUCAUUGGCAACUAACAGGGCCCAUAGGCAGCAACCCUCACUAGAAAACCCUGCCCUCCCCCCCCCCCGUUAACCUAACACUAGAGCAUUUCAAGAAAGAUUAAAAGAAAGAAAAGGAACUAGGCAAGUCUCAACCCCGCCUGUUUACCAAAAACAUCGCCUCU